AGUUCCUGGGCCUGGGAUCAGACCCAAGCCACAGCAGUGACAAUGCCAAAUACUUAACUGCUAGGCCACCAGGAAAUGCCUACUGGAGACAUUUUACUGGCCUAGCACUGCUAUUGUGGCAUCCUAGCAUUUUGUCUAAAUACAAUAUAUUUGUUUCAUAAUUCUUAGCAUUUUUCCUGCUUUUAGUUUUACUGAAAUAUAGUUGAUGUACAAUGCAGUGAUAAUUUCUUCCUUUCUUUCUUUCUUUCUUUCUCUUUCUUUCUUUCUUUCUUUCUUUCUUUCUUUCUUUCUUUCUUUCUUUCUUUCUUUCUUUCUUUCUUUCUUUCUUUCUUUCCUUCCUUCCUUCCUUCCUUCCUUCCUUCCUUCCUUCCUUCCUUCUUUCUUCUGUUUUUUUAGGACCUCACCCACAGCAUAUGGAGGUUCCCAGGCUAGGGGUCGAAUAGGAGCUGCAGCUGCCGGCCUAAACCACAGCCAUAGCAACAUCAGACCCAAGCUGCAUCUGUGACCUACACCACAGCUCAUGGCAAUGCUGGAUCCUUAACCCACUGAGCGAGGCCAGGGAUCGAACCCACGUCCUCAUGGAUACUAGUUAGGGUUGUUAACUGCUGAGCCAUGAUGGGAACUCCCCUGUUGUGAUCAUUUCUGCUGUACAACAAAGUGAUUCAGUUAUACACACGUUCCUUCUUUUUCAUAUUCUUUUCCCCAUGUAGAUUAUCACAGAAUAUUGGAUAGAAUUCCCUAUGCUAUACAGCAGGUUCCCAUUAGCUAGCAUAUUUAGUAUAGGUGUAGGUAUGAUAAUCAUUUGUGCUUUCUUCACUUUUGGUUUUUCUUCACUUUGGCUUAUUUUCACUUUUUCUGUUAUUUGCUGUUGAACAAGAGAUUUUCCGUACAUAACGUUAGAAGUGUGAAGGCCAAAGAGUUCUGUAGAAGGAUACAGAAUGAGCAAAUUAAGCAACUUUUUAAUAUCUUUUUUCUCUAAGUUUCCAGAAAUUUAGACAUUCCCAUGUUAUCAGUACAAAAACAUGCCACGGUCAAGAGUAUAUCUUUGUUGUUGUUGUUAUUAUUAUUCAAUGAAUUUUGUUAACAUUUAUAGUUGUACAGUGGUCGUCACAACCAAAUCUUACAUUUCCAUCCCAAACCCUCAGUGCCUCCCCCACCCCCCGAACCUGUCUCAUUUGGAAACUAUAAGUUUUUCACAGUCCAUGAGUCGGUAUCUGUUCUGCAAAGAAGUUCAUUGUGUCCUUUUUUUAGAUUCUGCUUGUAAGUGGUAGCAUUUGAUGUUGGCGUCUCACUGUCUGACUGGCUUCACUUAGCAUGAUAAUUUCUAGGUCCAUCCAUGUUGCUACAAAUGCCAUUAUUUCUUUCCUCUUAAUGGCUGAGUCAUAUUCCAUUGUGUUUAUGUACCACAUCUUCUUGAUCCACUCCUCUGUCGAUGGGCAUUUAGGUUGUUUCCAUGUCUUGGUUAUUGUAUAUAGUGCUACAAUGACCAAGAGUAUAUCUUUAACAAGAGUGUUAUUUGCUUUGUAACUGAGUCUCUGAUAAAAUGAUAAACAGUUCCAUAUGAGAUCAGUGAUCUCUAGAUAUGGGAAAGUGCAACAAGAGGGAAUGUUUUCCUGGCCCAUAACAGACUAGGAAGAUAGGUGGUCCAGAGUCUUUUGGCUCUGGUGAAUAAGGCCUAGUCCAGUAAUAGCACAUUGAGUCGCCUGAAAUCUUGCCAGGACUUGGAAUGUUCAUUCCUAGCACUCUGGAUGAAAUGGUCAUGAAAUGCCUUCCAAAAAAAACUAUGGUUGAAUUAUGACCAUGGGGGAGCCCUGUGAACUGAAGUUUGGCACUUGCCAUCAGCCUCUACAUAGAGUAGAGCAUGAGCCCCUGUAGCUGCCGACCCGCAGCACCCCCUGAGCAGAGCUCAGCAUGGAGACCAGGAGUGGGGCACUCUGUGCUCUGGGAAAACGGACAGAACCGGCCUUCAGUUAGUUAGAUUUCAGGUGAGGAUUUUUAUGAGUCCAAAUUCCCGCAUCUUCUUCUCCUUUCUAGAAAAACGGAAAUCAUUUACAGUGGCAUCUGCAUCGGGCAUUAGAGAGAAAAGGCAGAAUAGAGUAGCUGUGGGUCAGGCAGCCAAGGUGAUGCUAGGAAAUAUGAUGGGAGUGAUUUUAGACUAGUCUUUCUAUUGCUGAAAACUUAAGGUUUAUGUGCCCUGUCAGACUUGAUGCCACCAGCUGGUCUCACAGCAGCAUCAGCUGGCAGCUCAACCUCACAUCUUCAAGGCCUCCUCUUAAAACAACAGACAGGAGACAACAUGAUAAGGACCGAGAGCUCCUGUUAUUUAGGUACUAAUACCGCAUCAAACAUUAAGACCUACUUAGAUAAAACCGCACUCCUCCUUCAACAGUACCGGUAUCAACCUAAACUCCAAACCUCUGUUGAAUCUUAUUUUUCUUUUCUUCCCAGUCUCUAUAGUAGGAACCUACCAUGUCCAGCCACCCAGUACUUGUCGCCCCAGCCAGCAGGAAGUAGCUACAGAAGAGAGCACCGUCGCCCUGUCCCAUGUGACCGAAGGCUGGGGUGAUAGGUUCCCAGGAGGAUGGAGACAGACCCCUGCCCCCCAAAUGUGAUUGUUCACCUUGGAGUCCUGUGGACGUGGGUACCGCCCAGCACAAGAUCUACACCCUUUGCUGGAAUGCGGGGCAUAGAUCAACCACCUAGGAGGAAUAACUGCCCUCUGUCACAGGACUCGACCACCUGCCCCUCUCUUGACCUUGCCCCCCUCCCUCGUUCUUGCCACACGCUUCCACCAUGAACUCCAUCCAGCCUCAGAUCCUUUAUCCACCUAGCACCUCCUCACAGUCAGGGCUGGUGCCAUCUUGAGCUCAGCCCCUGCACCUCUGGACCCUUAAUCUCUUUUGCUUUACCAAAAAUAAAAAAUAAAUAAAAGUGUUAUUUGUUGCAUUAGCACAGAUAGAUAUUUGAGAAUAACUAUCAUCGUAUGUGUAAGACUUUUCCUAAAAUUUUAGUGAGGAUCCAGUUAAUACUUUGCCAUUUUUAUAUGUUUAUCAAGUCCUUCCCCCCCUUUUCAUUUUCAGAAUCCUGUUCUUGUUAAUAUAUUUUGCUGAGUAGGCUUCAGCUUCGAUUUUGUUUUGAUCCAUUUUUGUGCUGUUCCAUGAGUAUGCCCAGAGACCAUUUGUGUGACCAAUUUUUAAAAGUAAAGCACAAAAAUAUAAAUAUACACGCUGAAGAUGUUAUAGUUAUUUUUCCUUCCUGCUUGUACAAUUAGUAAUUGCAGUGCAUAUUGUUAAAGAACAAAAUCAUGACUUUCUUCUUUUUUUUUUUUUUUUGCUUUUUAGGGCCACACCCGCAGCAUAUGGAGUUUCCCAGGCUAAGGGUCAAAUCGGAGCUACAGCCGCUGGCCUAUGCCACAGCGACGCAGAUCCAGGAUCUGAGCCAUGUCUGUGAUCUACACCAUAGCUCACGGCAACGCUGGAUUCCCAGCCCACUAAGCGAGGCCAGGAAUUAAACCUGCAUCCUCAUGGUUCCUAGUCAGGUUUGUUAACCACUGAGCCACGAAGGGAACUCUAAAAUCAUAGCAUCUUAAGAGUUGAAAGGCAACUUCAAAGUCCUAUAGCUCAGCCUCCUGCCCAGAACAAAUCUAGAAUGUUACCAACAAGGAGUCACCAAAUUACAGUUGAUAUUCCUACAAUGAGAAAAUACACUACCUUAUAAACCUUUUCUCUUUUAGGUGGUUCUAGUUGUUUGAUUUUUUUUUUUUUUCCUGUUAGACAAUUGAAAUAUCUCUCUAGGACAAGUUGGUCCUACAUUUUUCAUUUGUAUUAUAAAAGAGCUAUUGUAUCUCCUGCUAAAUCUUCUCUUUUCUAGGCUUAACAUCCCUAGGCCUUUGUUCCUUAAAGCCUUCACCAGCAUUUGUAAUUUGGAUGUACCUUGGUUUUAUGUGGUUACUUACGUAAGUUAGGAAGCUUCUGUCUACAAGUAAAAGAAAACGCACCUAAAAAGAGUGGUACCCUAAAAGCUUUAAAUAGCAAUCAUUUACUAUUUCACAUAGAACAAUACAUCUGGAGAUGAGGUGGUUCUAGAUGCUUAUCAGUGUUAUUAAGAACCAUAUUGUGUCUCUUUCAACUCUCUCAUCCUUAAUGCAGGGGAUUUUAUUUUCAUUUUAUCCUCUUAUGUUUGCAGGCCACCAUAGCAGCUCCAAGCAAAGCUUUACAUAGCCACAUCCAGAGGCAAGAAAAAAAGGUUUUCCUUAUUCUUUUUCUUCUGAGUACAACUUUUUUCCAGAAAUUCCUCAGCAGAUGUGCCUUUGAUAUAUAUCACAUUCCUGCUAAACCACCAUUGGUUAAAGUGAGGCUCUCCCUACCCAGAAGGUCAGGGAAACGGUUAGAUUUGAAUGGGGAAGCAAUAGUUUGUUGAUCACCAAAAUGGAAUACUUAAUACUGUGUGGUCUGACGAAGGCUAUAAUGGAAUUUAUUAACCCAAAUUAUGCAAAAAACCAUUACAUGACAGGCAGUGGGUCUGGUGUUAGAAUACCAGCUAUCUAUCCUUCCCUACAUGGAUUAAAUAUCCCACACAGGGAGACAAACAAGUAAAUUUCAAUUUUAAUAUGGCGAGUUAAAUGCCAUGAUAAGAUAAUUAUGUGUACCCUAGCAUUGGAGAAUCAGGGAAGUCUUCCCAGAGGAGGUGACAUCUAAGCUAAACUCUGAAAGAUGAGUCAAUUAGAGUGAAAAGGUUGUAGGAAAAGAAUAGGUUGGAGACAAGAGUAUGGUUAAUUCCAAGAGAAUUGCAACUGUCAGUCCAGAUAUUGCUUCUUUAGGGUAAUCUAAGACGAUGUUUACUUGGUUUCAGUUUUUAAGCAAUUUUCCUUCCAUAUAUAAUUUGUGGUGAUUUGUAACAUCAGGACUCUCAUUUGUGUGUAUUACUGCUGAGUCGGGUCUCCUAUCCUGUAUAUUUGUAAUUUAUUUUUUAAACCUCCGUGUACGUUUUUCCAUUCAUUUAAUUUCAUUUGGCUUGUACUUAUUAGUCCAGGAGUCAGCAACUUUUUUUUCUGUAAAAGGCACGGUAGUAAUUAUUUUGUGGAUCCAUGCGCCCUCUGUUGCAGCUACUCAGCUCUGCCAUUGUAGAGUGAAAGCAGCCAUAGACAUUAUGUAAAGGAAUGCACAUGGCUAUGUUCCAGUAAAACUUUACAAGAAAAAGCAGUUAGCUAUUGUCCGCUGACCCCUGUCUAGGACCCAGACUGCUGGUAUUAUUCCAGUCCUAGGGUAACUUACAGCACCAGGAAAGUGAGAGUUCAUGUUUCUUCCUAGUCAGUCUUCCAGGCAGAGGUACUGACGAGAAAAAAGUAAGACGUGAGUCUGUAAUUAAAUGAUUCUAUUUACCAUAAUAACUUGAUCAGUCAGCAGAUGACCCUCCCAAAUAUGUAAGCUCACAGACUGGUCCAACCUUUAUGUAUAACAACCCAUUCCGUGGGUACUUUAUUUUUAUUUAUUUGUUUAUUUGUUUUUUCAGGGCCACACCCAUAGCAUAUGGAGGUUCCCAGGCGAGGGGUUGAAAAGGAGCUGCAGCCUUCAGCCUACACCACAGCCACAGCAGUGCCAGAUCCAAGCCGCGUCUGCGACCGACACCAGAGCUCACAGCAACGCUGGAUCCCUAACCCACUGAGCGAGGCCAGGCAUCCAACCCGAAUCCUCAUGGAUGCUAGAUGGGUUCAUUAAUGGCUGAGCCAUGACAGGAACUCCUGUAAGUACUUUGCCUAAUUUCACCCAGAUUCCCAAACAGCACCUUCUUGAAUGGCCAUACAGUUUGAUCCUGUCUGUCGUAUCAUUACAUUAGAGGGUGUCCCUGACGACUUUGUUUUCUCCCUUUCCACCCCUUUCUUGGUGAUAACCUAUUACUACUACUUUUUAAAUUAAAGUAUAAUUGAUUUACAUUACUGUAAUUUUAGGUGGGCGGGGUAGUGAUUCAAUAUUUUUAUGGAUUCUACUCCAUUUAAAGUUAUUACAAAGUAAUGGCUCUGCUGUGCACCAUGUCCUCCCACACACCCCAUCUUGCCUAUCUCCCUUCCCGCUCCCCACUGAUAACCACUGAUUUGUUCUCCGUAUCUGGGAGUCUGUUUCUGUUUGUUAUGUACGUUCAUUUAUGUUAUUUUUUAGCUUCCAUGUAUUAGUGAUAACACAGAGUACUGGUCUUUCUCUGACUUAUUUCACUGUACUUUCCUUAUUAAGCAUAAUACUCUCAAGGUCCCUC
rnacentral:lncRNA from 1 species